rnacentral:rRNA from 1 species
GUAGUUGACUCGCGGCUACGAGGACGACGCUGGCGGCGUGCCUAACACAUGCAAGUCGAGCGAAGUGCUUUGAGUGGAACCCUUCGGGGUGAAACUUGAAGCACUUAGCGGCGGACGGGUGAGUAACGCGUGAGGAACCUACCUCCCACAAGGGGAUAGCCUCGGGAAACCGGGAUUAAUACCCUAUGACACUUAGGUGUCGCAUGACGCCUAGGUUAAAGCGCUUUAGCGGUGGGAGAUGGCCUCACGUCCCAUUAGCUAGUUGGUGAGGUAACGGCUCACCAAGGCGACGAUGGGUAGCCGGCCUGAGAGGGUGACCGGCCACACUGGGACUGAGACACGGCCCAGACUCCUACGGGAGGCAGCAGUGGGGAAUAUUGCACAAUGGGCGAAAGCCUGAUGCAGCGACGCCGCGUGAGCGAAGAGGGCCUUCGGGUCGUAAAGCUCUGUCCUAUGGGACGAUAAUGACGGUACCAUAGGAGGAAGCCCCGGCUAACUACGUG